rnacentral:rRNA from 1 species
CGCUACGAGCGCACCCUUGUCCUUAGUUGCCAGCACGUCAUGGUGGGAACUCUAGGGAGACUGCCGGUGACAAACCGGAGGAAGGUGGGGACGACGUCAGGUCAUCAUGGCCCUUACGACCUGGGCUACACACGUGCUACAAUGGCUGGUACAGAGGGUUGCGAAGUCGCGAGGCGAAGCUAAUCCCUUAAAGCCAGUCGUAGUCCGGAUCGGAGUCUGCAACUCGACUCCGUGAAGUCGGAAUCGCUAGUAAUCGCGGAUCAGAAUGCCGCGGUGAAUACGUUCCCGGGCCUUGUACACACCGCCCGUCACACCAUGGGAGUGGAUUGCACCAGAAGUGGCUAGUCUAACUACGGAGGACGGUCACCACGGUGUGGUUCAUGACUGGGGUGAAGUCGUAACAAGGUAGCCGUAGGGGAACCUGCGGCUGGAUCACCUCCUU